rnacentral:rRNA from 1 species
AUUGAACGCUGGCGGCAGGCCUAACACAUGCAAGUCGAACGAGUGGCGGACGGGUGAGUAAUGUCUGGGAAACUGCCUGAUGGAGGGGGAUAACUACUGGAAACGGUAGCUAUUACCGCAUACCAUCAGAUGUGCCCAGAUGGGAUUAGCUAGGUGGUGGGUUAACGGCUCACCAAGGCGACGAUCCCUAGCUGGUCUGAGAGGAUGAACAUGCAAACUGGAACUGAGACACUGUCCAGACUCCUACGGGAGGCAGCAGUGGGGAAUAUUGCACAAUGGGCGCAAGCCUGAUGCAGCCAUGCCGCGUGGAUGAAGAAGGCCUUCGGGUUGUAAAGUACUUUCAUCGGGGAGGCGUUACCCGCAGAAGAAGCACCGGCUGACUCCGUGCCAGCAGCCGCGGUAAUAC